GGCUCUGCGGCGCAAUGGAUAGCGCGUUGGACUUCUAAUUCAAAGGUUGUAGGUUCGAGUCCCACCAGAGUCA
rnacentral:tRNA from 1 species